AAAAAAAAACCAUGCAAAAGUUCAUCCAUAGCCGAAACAUCAAAAAGAAAAAAAAAAGAAAAGAAGAAAGCUAAGUUCGGCCCUUGUGUCCUUUGAUUUAGAUCAAGAAACCAAGAAAUCGGAUUUAGAUCGGGGGAAAUCGAAAAUACUCAAGUAGCCGAUCUAAUAGUCAACGAUAUUCCAGAUUUUGGGGUCGUUACGAGCUCAGGGAUCGUCAGCAUGGUCUAUCACACUAUCGACAUCUUUUGACUUUCUUCACAGACUUGCUUUAGAAAGCCAUUUCAUAUCUUUCAAGCCUUCCCUCCCAAAGCAGGCCAAGGUGAGGAUCUUUGACUGGUUGUGAAAAGUGAAAGAAAAGCUGGUAAAUGAUUCUUGUUAUGCUUUAAGUCUAGCAUUAUGUAAGCAGGGUUUGUGGUUCAUGUUUUUAAGUAUCUGCUUUACCUUUGUUCUCCAGAGUAGUUGAAUAUUUGUUUCACAGCUACAUAUAUAGGAAUUUGUGGUUCAUGUUUUUAAGUAUCUGUCUUACCUUCUGCUGCCAUUUCAUAUCUUUCAAGCCUUCCCUCCCAAAGCAGGCCAAGGUGAGGAUCUUUGACUGGUUGUGAGAAGUGAAAGAAAAGCCGUGCUGCAUUGUUGAUAUUCUCCCAAUUAUGAGAUAUUAUUCCAAUGAUGCUAAAAGAGAAUGGGGUAGAGCUAACAAGAACAAAUUCAUAGCAUGUGGAUGGUUUUAAAUAGUUGUGCAAACACUUUGAGUGUAAAACUGCUUCAUGAUAUGGUUGUGGAAAGAUUGUAGGUUAAGCAAAUGGCACGCUUUACUUUUAAUGUAGUAGGUUGUACAUUGGUUUUGGU